CUCAGAACGAACGCUGGCGGCGCGUUUAAGCAUGCAAGUCGAGCGGCAAGGGCCUUCGGGCCCCUAGAGCGGCGGACGGGUGAGUAACACGGUGGACAAUCUGCCCCCCGGCCCGGGAUAGCCCAGGGAAACCUGGAUUAAGUACCGGAUGGAGACGGGACCCGCGAUGGUGGGACCCGGGAAAGGCGCUGCGGCGCCGCCGGGGGAUGAGUCUGCGUCCCAUUAGCUAGACGGCGGGGUAACGGCCCACCGUGGCGACGAUGGGUAGCCGGUCUGAGAGGGUGGACGGCCACAUCGGAACUGAGACACGGUCCAGACUCCUACGGGAGGCAGCAGCGUAAGAAUCUUCCGCAAUGGGCGAAAGCCUGACGGGAAGCGACGCCGCGUGAACGAAGAAGGCCGUGAGGUUGUAAAGUUCUUUUCGGGAGGGGGAACAACCGUGGCAGGGAAUGGCCGCGGGAUGACGUGAAUCCCGGAAUAAGCCCCGGCUAACUACGUGCCAGCCGCCGC
rnacentral:rRNA from 1 species